AUCAAGGAAAAGGAGCUGGUAUCAGGCUCAACUUUAAGCCCACAACACCUAGCCACGCCACGCCCGCAAGGGUAUUCAGCAGUGAUAAACCUUGUUUAUAAGCGCAAGCUCGAAUCAGUUACGGCAAAGAGGGCCGGCAAAUCCGGUGCCAGCCGCCGCGGCUACACCGUUAGGCCCAAGUUGACACACGCCGGCGUUAAGCGUGAUUAGAGUGAUUACACUGAUUAGAGUUAAACCCAAACUUAGUCGUGAUACACUUGUUCCCGGGAAACCCAAAAACGAAAGUUACUCUAACCAAUCCACUUGACCCCACGACAGCUAGGACACAAACUGGGAUUAGGUACCCCACUAUGCCUAGCCGUAAAAUAUAUACUCACCCAACAAAUCGCCAGGGAAUUACGAGCCCAAGCUUAAAACCCAAAGGACUUGACGGUGUCCCACCCACCUAGAGGAGCCUGUUCUAUAAUCGAUUCCCCCCGAUAAACCUCACCACUUCUGGCCAACUCAGCCUGUAUACCUCCGUCGUAAGCUUACCAUGUGAACGAAACCAGUGAGCCAAAAGAUCCAACAUCAAUACGUCAGGUCAAGGUGCAGCUAACGAACUGGGAAGAAAUGGGCUACAAUUUCUACCAUAGAACAAACGAAAGGCUACAUGAAACAUAGUCACUGAAGGCGGAUUUAGCAGUAAAAAGAAAA
rnacentral:rRNA from 1 species